UGGGGAAUAUUGGACAAUGGGGGCAACCCUGAUCCAGCCAUGCCGCGUGUGUGAAGAAGGCCUUUUGGUUGUAAAGCACUUUAAGCAGUGAAGAAGACUCCAUGGUUAAUACCCAUGGACGAUGACAUUAGCUGCAGAAUAAGCACCGGCUAACUCUGUGCCAGCAGCCGCGGUAAUACAGAGGGUGCAAGCGUUAAUCGGAAUUACUGGGCGUAAAGCGAGCGUAGGUGGCUUGAUAAGUCAGAUGUGAAAGCCCCGGGCUUAACCUGGGAACGGCAUCUGAUACUGUUAGGCUAGAGUAGGUGAGAGGAAGGUGGAAUUCCAGGUGUAGCGGUGAAAUGCGUAGAGAUCUGGAGGAAUACCGAUGGCGAAGGCAGCCUUCUGGCAUCAUACUGACACUGAGGUUCGAAAGCGUGGGUAGCAAACA
rnacentral:rRNA from 1 species